AGGGGACGAUGGGAUUGGGGCUCACCGGGUAACCAAGCUGCCCGGUGGAGGCCUGGGCAGAAAGUCGCCGGGGCCUCAGUCACCCCUGUGGGUUCUCCGCGCUCUCAGGAGCAGACGUCUCGCGCAGGGCACCGCCCUGCCUGACCCACGCGGGGACACAGUGGUAGAGUGGGACGGCGAGGCUCCGCGUCUCUGUCAGCGGCCUAGCCGAAGGGCAGCCGCCAUGUCCCGGGUACUGGUCGUGGGCGCUGGGCUAACCGGAAGUCUGUGUGCCGCGCUGCUGAGGAAGGAAAUAACCGCCCCCCUGUACCUCGGCCUGUGAGACAAGGGUGGGGAUAUAGGGGGAAGAAUGAUUACUGCCAGCAGUCCUCAUAAUCCCCGAUGCACAGCUGACUUGGGAGCUCAGUACAUCACCUGCUCUCCUCAUUAUGUCAAAGAGCACCAAAAUUUUUAUGAGGAACUGUUAGCUCAUGGAAUUUUGAAGCCUCUGACAUCCCCCAUUGAAGGAAUGAAAGGGAAGGAAGGAGAUUGCAACUUUGUGGCACCUCAAGGAUUUUCUUCAGUUAUCAAGUACUACUUGAAAAAGUCAGGUGCAGAAGUCUCCCUCAAGCACUGUGUGACUCAGAUCCACCUGAAAGAUAACAAGUGGGAAGUCUCCACAGACACUGGCUCUGCUGAGCAGUUUGACCUUGUCAUCCUCACCAUGCCAGCUCCUCAGAUUCUGGAACUUCAAGGUGACAUUGUGAACUUAAUUAGUGAACGCCAGAGGGAGCAACUGAAAUCUGUGAGCUACUCCUCUCGCUAUGCUCUGGGCCUCUUUUAUGAAGUAGGCAUGAAGAUUGGUGUCCCUUGGUCCUGCCGCUACCUCAGCAGUCACCCCUGCAUAUGCUUCAUCUCCAUUGAUAAUAAGAAGCGCAAUAUAGAGUCAUCAGAAUGUGGUCCAUCCGUGGUGAUCCAAACCACUGUCCCAUUUGGAGUUCAACACUUGGAGGCCAGUGAGGCGGAUGUGCAGAAGUUAAUGAUCCAGCAAUUGGAAACCAUUCUGCCGGGUUUGCCUCAGCCAGUUGCUACCAUAUGCCAUAAAUGGACAUAUUCACAGGUUACAAGCUCAGUUUCCGACAGACCUGGUCAGAUGACUCUUCAUCUCAAGCCUUUCCUGGUGUGCGGAGGGGAUGGAUUUACUCACUCCAACUUCAAUGGCUGCAUCUCCUCUGCCCUGAGUGUCAUGAAAGUUUUAAAGCGUUAUAUUUAGUGUCUGUGUUCUUGUUCUCUACAUUUACUUUAGGAUUUUUGUUUUCACAAUCCUCUGUUAUUAAUUGUUCUAUUUUCCUUUCUGUGAAGAGAAAUUACUUUGGAAAAUGUCUUCACUUACUGUUAUUUUUAAUAUGAAAUAUAAAAACAAUGUUAUAAUUUUGAUAGCUACCACCCAUAGUAAAGUGAUAACUUCUUAGGCUAUAUUUCUUCCUCACUUUUCUGACUUUAUUACUAAUCCUUAUUGGAGAAAAAUGGUGCUUCUAAGUCACAAAUAACCCAAGCCCAGAAUUAUACUAAACCAAAGUUCUCAUUCAUGGAAAAUCUUUAUUAUCCUUUUGAAAACUUCAGUUCUAAAUAAAUAACAGUUACUACCAAAUGUC